ACGCGAUCGCGUGACAUGUGCGAUCUGCAUAAUCUGCAGGAUUUGCUGGGGGCGAUUUUGGACCCUAUUUUGACCCAGUUUUUGGCCCAGAACAGCAGACUAGAGCCAGAGAACAUGAAAAAACCAGGGAUAACAUUCAUUCUACAUAAGUUUUAGUUUUUGGAUCUAGUUUUACUCCUCCCCUAGGUUUCUCUCUCGAGACAUUGAUAGUUCUUAGGAUUUUAGUUUCUCUAGCUUUUUGCAUUGGG
rnacentral:lncRNA from 1 species